AAAACUUUGAUUCCCAAAACCAAAUGAGAAACUAAAAUUCUAGACCAAACCUAUUGUAUCCCUUUACUUACAAAUCUCGGAGACGAGAUUCUUUUUAAGGGGGUAGGAUUUGUAGAGCCCAAAAUUUGUAUCAACAAAAAAUAAGGAUAUAAAUAAAUAAAUAAAUAUAGUAUAAGUUAAUGUCUUGAGGAAUUUAUGGAACCUUGGGAGAUUAAUUGAGUUUCUUCUAUGUGUGCAUAUUCAAAUAAUAUAAUUAUAUUGACCAAAUAACAAAAUAAAUAGAUAUAGAAUUAUGCACCUCAUGAUGGAGUUCUUACAUGUUUACCUUUGUACUCAAAAUUUUAAGACAAGUUUAAGUUUGAAAAGUAGAAUUUGUAGCAAUCAAAAAUAUUACUAGGGAUUUCUAAUAGAAUAAUACGAAAAAAAUCAAUAUAAAAUUAAGUUAUUCUUUUUAGAUAAAAUAUUUAGAAAUGUAUCUGAAAUAACUAUCAAUAAAUUUGUGCAAUAGAAAUUAUUUUAUUACAACAUAUAUUUGGUGGGUAUAAAAUAUACACUUGGAAGUAGUUGUUUAAAAUGAAUAAAGCAAUGAGUAUAUAUAUAUAAUUAAAAUAAAAAUAAAAACUUUGCAGCAUGCUGGAUAUUUUGAUUGGGCAUGAUGACUUUGACUCUAAGUUUGAAUCACAAAUUCGAAUUUAGAGAUUUAAAUUAGAAAACAACAAAAAAAUAGAAAUAAAAAAAAGAAACACGUUACCUGGGCCAUGGAGCUCUGGCUCGGCUCACCCAACAGACCUGGGCUGGAAACCACAUGCUUGCGCACACAAUUGACGAGCUGCCGGAAUUGUUUAAUGUAUUCAUGAGUGGUGAGGUCAUGCCGACGUUAGUAGUGACCUCAUCUCUAGGUGCGAUUGUACCACUGAUGACUAGGCCCGAGUAUUGCUCCGUAUUCUGAACCGUAUGGAGUUAUGGACCAGGGAUGCAUCUACGUGCUGCUCAACCUCCGCCAGGGGAGCUGCGCGCUGUGCGCCUAGGACCGACCGGUGGGUCCCACCUGGCUGCCUUGGACGCACGCUUGCCUCGCUUUGGGUUGCUGCGUGGUGGGUCUGGCAUUCCAGGCGUCUUCCUCGUUGAAACGAGCACCGAAGCCUAACAGAAUCCGCGAUUUCGGCGGGUCGGUGGGAUUUGACUGGGUCCUCGGCCUCGCGUUCGGGAUAUAAAAAGAACGGCCGCCGCAUACCUUGGAUGCGACAAUCAGUGACCCUCCACAUCGACAAAUAGAGUCGCCGUCGUAGUAGGGGUAGAGCAUGCGGCCGCCGUGGUGGAUCCACAUCGGCAUCGUCGGGCCGUAAGACUUCGGCUGUGGUCUCCUGCGUCGCGCAAUCCCUCGGCAGAUGGGAGGUGCACAAGCUCAGGUGACAGCGAGCAUACUUAGAGUGCUUCAGCAAUGGCUGCCUUGUCCUCUGCCAUUAAUACAUCGACAAAACCCAGCAGCACACAGACACAAUCUCAUUCAGGCCAAGGGUCUCAAAGAGCCGCUGCUGUUGCAGCGCUAUCCAGUGUUAUAUCAGGGGAAAAAUUUUCUGUGCAUACCGGAGGUAAAGAAACAUCUUUAGCCCCUCACAUUUAUCUAUUGCAGGUCCACACUAACAGAAGGUAAAAACUAAGCAGUUAAUUGGUGGGCUUCAAUUUUUGUCGCAUGGAGUGGAUGUGAGAGGUUGUAGAUGUGUUUAUUUGCAUCCGGAAUACACAUUUUUCCCAUCACGGUAGGUGGUCCCCAACAUUAGGUUAGACUUACCAGCCUAAACUUUAUUUGAAUUUUAGUUUUUAUUGAGAUGAUCAUUAUUUGAGCUGAAAAUAAUUGAUGAUUUAUAUUUAUUAA